rnacentral:lncRNA from 1 species
AUUAAAAUCAAAUAAUAAAAUGUGAAUCUGCCAAAGAAAAUAUUUUGUUUGUCUAUAUUGUGUUAAGACAUACUGUCAACUUUUCGAAUGCAUAGUAUAGUAUUGUUAACUAUAGGCACGAUGUUAUGCAGUAGAUCUCUAGGUCUUAUUUAUCUUGCAUAAUUGAAACUUGGUACACAUUAAGUAGCAACCUCUCAUUUCCUUUCUCCACAGUCCUUGAUAACCACUAUUCUGCUCUGUUUCUGAGUUUGAUGAUUUUAGAUAUUUCGUAUAAAUGGAGUCAAGCAGCAUUUGUCCUUCUGUGACUGGCUUGUUUCACUUAGCAUAAUGUCCUUCAGGUUAAUCCAUUUUGUCACCUAUAACAGGAUUUCUUUUUUUGUAAGUCUGUAUAAUAUUCCAUUGCACAUACAGACACAUUUUCUUUAUCCAUUUAUCUAUUGAUGGAGAUUUAGGUUGUUUUUAUAUCUUGGCUCAUGUGAAUAAUGCUACAGUGAACAGGGGAGUGGAGAUACUUAUUCAAGAUCUUGGUUUUAAUUAUUAUAUAUACCCCAAACUGGGAAUGCUGGAUCACAUGGUAGUUCUAUUUUUAUUUUUUUGAGAGACCUUCUUAAUGUUUUCUGCAGCAGUUGCACCAUUUUAUAUUCCCACCAACAGUACAGAAAUGUUCCAACUUCUCUAUAUCCUUAUCAAUGCAUUUUUUAAAAAUAAUAGCCAUCUCAACAGUUUUGAGGUGAAAAUAUUGUGGUUUUGAUUUUCAUUGCCCUGCUGAUUAGUGAUGAUGAUUAUCAUAUUUUUCAUAUACCUGUUGGCUAUUUGUAUGGUUUUUUUUUGGCUAAAUGUCUAUUCAAGUCCUUUGCCUAUGGCUUAAUCUGCUUUUUUUAAAUUAUUGCAUUGUAGUUCAUAUAUUUUACAUAUUAACAUCUAACAGAUACAUGGUUUGGAAAAACAUACAUUUUCCCUGAGUUCAUAUGUUGCCUUGUCACUCUGUUGAUUGAUUCCUUUGCUGUGCACAAGCUUUUUAUUUUAAUGUAGUUCUGCUUGUCUAUGUUUGUUUUGGUUGCCUGUGCUUUUGCUAUUACAUUCAAGAAAUCAUUGCCAACACCAAUAUCAUAAAGCGUUUUUUCUAUAUUUUUUCUAGGAGUUUUACAGUUUCAGGUCUUACAUUACAAAAUUUAAUCCAUGUGGAGUUGAUGUUUUUUGUAUAGUGUAAGAUAAGGAUCCAAUUUCAUUGUUUGCAUGAGGUUAUUCAGUUUUUCCAAUACCAUGUGUUGAAGAGAUUAUCUGUUUCCCAUUUUGUAUUUUUGUUCCACUUGUCAAAAUUCAAGUACAUGUGACAGUACAUGACAAUAUAUGUAUGGAUUUAUUUAUGUACUCUCUAUUCUAUUUCAUUGGUGUAUCUGUCUGCUUUAUGCUACUAUUAUGCUGUUUUAAUUAUUGUAGCUUUGUAAUGUAUUUUGAAACCCGCUAGUGUUAUGCCUUCAUCUUUGUUCUUCUUUCACAAGAUUGCUAUGGUUACUCAGGGUCAUUUGUGGUUCCAUAUGAAUUUUAUAAUUGUUUUCAAUUUUUGUAAAAACUUGCCAUUGGGAUUUUCAUAGGGAUGUUAUUGAAUCUAUACCCUGUUUUAGAUAGUAUGGACAUUUUAACAUGAAGUUUUAUUCAAUGUUUACUCUCAUCUCAGUGAAUGAGAACUGGAAAAGAAAAUUUAAAACAGAGCAGCAUUUAUUCUACUAGUUUUGAUGAUUUCUGUUUUUCAGAUUCAUUUGGAAGUGGUUGAGUGGGUGACUGAAGAAUCUCAGUGGAAUUUUUAAGCCUACCAAAAAAAAACAGCUUUACUGGGUCAAAAAUUACUCAGGGUAAGUCAGAGAUAUGACUCUAAACUUAUUUAAAGAUCCCACUGUAAUUUCCAGCCACCCACUACAAAAUCAGCCAGUGAAGCAGAAAUCAUCAAAACUAUUUGAGUAAGUGCCAUUCUGCAUUCUCUUUUCAAUUUUCUUUUCUAGUUCAUUUUCUAGUUCAAUGAAUGAGUGAAAUAAUUUACGAAUCCUUAUCUUUUACACUAGUUCAUUGGUAUUUAAAACCAAUAGGAUUAAGUGAUGCCCCUUUGUUGGUGGCCAAAGAUGAAAUCUGGAAUUAAAGAUAUUUUUACCUUUCCUCCACCAUUCAGGGACCAAUGAAAAUUAUAGAUAAUCUGGGAUAAAUCUCUCAUAACCUUAGUAUUUGAUUAUGCAUUACAAGCUUCCCCUGCUUUUCUCUCUCUCUGUCUCUCUGACACACACACACACACACACACACACACACACACGCAUUCUUUCCUAACCAGCAAUCAGUGUCUUAACACAAUAAAAACUGUUCUUCUUUUCACGGUCUUUAGUUCUAAUGCAGAAAGGUUUAACAAUAUGUAUAGAGAGUAUUUCUUUCUCGAAAAAAAUGUGGCAGCAUUUUUUAUGAUGUUGAUAUAGUUACCUAUUUUAGAAAUGUUAAGACCAGUCUUGAUAUAGAUUUGAAAUAGUAGUUAAAUAAUAUAAUAAACAUAUAUAUCCAUGAAUGUAUUUCCUCAGGAAUGUUAAUAAUAGAACAUUUACCCUGGAACAUUGGAUAGAUAACUCUGCGAUAAAGAUCAUUAGACAUUCGGCUGCAAUGAUCUUUGCCUACCUACAGAAUUUGUUCAAAUGCUUAUGUAUGCAUCUGUAGAAGAUCCUGCAAUGUUGCUAAACUGUUCAAACCCAAGGUGACCAGUACAUUUCCCACUAAGUGAAAAAUACUGAACUGGAUGAUGACUCAGAUUUUCUCUCAAUCUUAAGUCUCUAUCAUUUAAAAUAAGUCUGGGUGUCUAGGGUUAUGAGAUCAAAUUGUGUUUCUUUGUCACUGGAAAUCCCCACUUCAAACCUUAAGAACAAGCCAUUCAAAAGCUUGCACUGAGGCAACACACUUAAUAGGAAAGCAUGACUUCAUUUUGGCAUGAUUCGUCUUCAAAUCAGGUCAGUGAUUUAGAUUUGAAUGAGUGGAUUGUUCAUGGGCACCGGAUCAAAUUAGACUUUCAUUUAUUUUAAGAAAUUCAUUAGACCAAUUAUGACAACCACAGAGGGAUGUCUUAUGACUGAGAAGUGCAAAUUAUAAGAACAAUAAUAUCCAUUGUUAAGUGUGAGAUGAAAAUUUCUGUGUAGCUUGCUCAUUAAAAUCUGCUUCCUUUUACAGAAAUGAUUUUUAUGUAAUGUAGAUGGCAGGUAAAAAACACUGAACCAAAACAUAAUUACUGAGUUUAUAACAUUCUGGUAAAUGCAAAUCAUUUAUAAAAUAAAAUCAGUUCAGAAAAUUUAAAGGAAACUGAAAAUACCAAAUUUCUUUUUUAGCAUUAUGUUAUAUAUUGUGGAAAUACACUAAUUAGGCUUCAAAUAAAUAGAAACAAGAAUCAAAUUAUUAUAUAAUUGGUGUUUUUAUAGCCACACACUUAUAUUUUAGAUAAAAAUACUUACUAAACACUUUAUGAAAAAGUGAUUGGGAUUUGGAGUCUGAUUCAUUUAUAUCUGACUCCAUUACUGUUUUUCUUUGGGCAGCUUCCAUAGAUUAUGGUCAUCUUAAUUUAAUCAUUGGUGAAACAGAGGCAAUUGUGCUUAUUUUUUUAACAAUUCAAUUAAAAAUGAUAUGUGUGAAGUGUGAAGUAUUUUGCAUACUAUGUAUUCUCUUUAAACAGUUAAUUUAAUAUCAUAUAACAUAAUUAGGCACAAUUUUAGAGAAAAAUAAUUGACAUUCUUUUUCGUUUUUUUUUUUUUUUGGCAAACCUUUUGAAAUACAGCAAUGCAAAGGUACACUACUCACAACUUUUCAUUUGUUGUGGUUCACCAUUCCCUUGUAACUUAACUCUCUCCCUCCAUGAAAAGCAAAGAAUACAAAAGGAUUUAACAAACAAUACUAGUAUUAGCUUCCUUAGAGUUUAUAUUUUGUUAUGACUGAAAUGUUCCAUUCCAGCAGAAAUAUUUAAUCAUUUUUUUCAGACUGAAAAACAACCUACUAACAAAUCUGCAGCCCUCUCAGAAGUGUUAUAUAGUUUCAGAAAUUUUUUUAAAAUUUGGUUUAGCAAUUCAUGUUUUUUCAUGCUUAUCACAUCGAAGCUACUGAGACAACUAGAAAAAGAGACUUUUGAGUGGCCUCAUUAUUUUUCCUUAGCUAGUAUGUCAGAUUAUGGAAAUGGCUUGAUACUUGGCUGGAAUUAAACUAUCUAAUAAAAAAUAUACAUUACUAUACAUAUUUCUCAAUUCUGGUGAUGUUAGUGAAAAUGUUUGUACAAACAGCUCUUGUAGUACAAUUAUAUUGUAUAUAUUUGAGUUGAAUAAUCUCGUAAUCUGAUUACUAGGUUUGUAAAUCUGAUUACUAUGUUUUGUUUUAUCAUGAAGAAGAAAAACUAAACAGCCAAUAACUAUAUAAGUUCAAGUUACCGAAUGAGGUAGCAUUGGUUUCUCACAAAUACUAUUCUGUGAUUGAGAUCAUAUCAUUCUGUCAAGACUACAUUUAUAAAAUCAUCAAAAUUUAUAUAAAUAUUUUAUUAAUAUUAAUCUAAAGGAGGCUUCACAAUUAAAGAACAAUAUCUCAAUCACAGAUAUUCAAAGGGAUUGAACUGCCAUCAGCUUAAAUUUUUCUGAAACUAAAUAAAAUUAGAGCUUUGUUGAGGAGGAUGAUAAUGAUUGAUGAUGAUCAUGAUAGAAUUGUUAGACGGGCCACAUAUAAAAAGAAAAAAAAGUUAAACAGAGACUAUUUGUGCUCCUUUUACAACUGUAGAUGACUGUUCAACUUCCUUUUCCUUAAUGUGCUGUUUAUGAGUGAGUCAAUAACAGCCGUCACUGACUUCUGAGUCCUUUACAACUAACAAAGAAGCUGUGGUUUUCAUUGAUCAUACCCUUGGGUAAGCCUGUGAAAUUGGAAAGUUGUUUAAAAAAACUCAGUAACACCAAAAACUGCAUAAGUAGCCAAGGCUAUAAUCAGAAAUCACAUUUGCAUGCAGGUUUCUCUACUGGAUUAACUUGUCAAGGCUGUACUAAAAACCAACGUACACACUCAUGGAUCUUUUCAUAGGAACUGAAUAAUAUCUUUAAACAAACUAGACUCAGCAUCCCUGUUGUACCUUAGAACUUUGUCUAAUUACUUGUAGCAAAAGAAGACAAGGUGGGACAGACCAGAGGAUCAAGACCCUACACUCGACUGGGCACUGUGGCUCAUGCCCGUGAUCUCAGUGCUUUGGAAGGCUGAGGUGGGUUGGAUGGCUUGAGGCCAGGAGUUCAUGACCAGCCUAGGCAAAAUGGGGAAACCUUUUCUACAAAACAGUUCAAAAGUUAGCCAGGCAUGAUGGUGUGUACCUGUAGUCCCAGCUACUUGGGAGGCUGUUGGGAUGAUUAGUUUGGGACUAGGAGGUCAAGGCUGCAGUGAGCCAUUAUCAUGCCACUGUGUUCCAGCAUGGGCAAGGAAGUGAAACCCUGUCUCAAAAAAAAAAGAAAGACCCUACACCCUGUAGAACAGAAAGCAUUGCAGAGGCUGACACCACUACUUCAGAUAAACAGUUGGAAACUCUAAGACAGAGUAGAGAGUACUCUAGGAAGAAAAAAACAGGAUAUUAGCCAAGAAUACAAGGCCACAGAGAGACUGUGAGUCUCUUCCUAAAUGUUAUAAGACAGACCAAUUGAGAAAGGAAAGUGGGCCCUCCUCAUUGUAGGACAGGGGUGCUCAGCACUUUGCAAAAAUACGACCUCAAACAUAAGGCUUAUGAUAUAAUUCAAGGGCAAAUUUAAAAAUUCCUAUGCUGCCUUCUAUGCCAUUGCUGAUGACAGAGGAUUUCAUACUUGCUAUAAUUUAGACAAGGGGUCAGCAAAUUUCUUCUAUAAAGAGCCAGAGAGUAAAUAUUUUAGAUUUUGUGAGCCAUAUUGUCUCUGCCACCAUAGACAGUUUGUAAAUGAAUGGACUUAGCUGAGUUCUGAUAACAUUUUAGUUACAAAAACUGGAGAGUGGGCCAGAUUUUGGCAGUGGGCUAUCCUUUGCAGACUCCUGAUUUAGGUGCUACAACAUAAAUGUUACUAGUCAUAUGAUAACUUAGAUCAAUAUUAGUUAGACUGAUGUGGUCAGCAUAAUUCCAUGCUCGAUUUUAGAUCCAGUGGAAGUAAGUGCCAGGAUUGGGGGCUACCACACCCUCUUUCUUCUCUGGCCUCAUCUCCUACUGCCUAACCUCUUGGUUACUCCAUUCAUUCACACUGGUCGUACUGUUUUUCAAAGAUCCAGGCAAAGUAUGAUUUCUUUAUUAGAUCUUGGUGUUACUUCUGUCCAAAACAGUCUCCUCUGAGAUAUCCUCCCUUAAAUAUUUGUUUAAAUGUCCUUAUAUUUGUAAGGGAUGCAUCAGAAAACAGAUUUCAUCCCAGACGUUCAAAUGGAUAUAAUUUAAUCCGUAAGAUUAGAGAAAGAUGUAAAAAAUGGCACAAGAGCAGGAAGCAAGGCUUAGAGGUAGAGUCACAGUACUCUGGGAUAAGAGACCAAGGGGAGAGUCACAGUAGUUGAGUGCAGAUUAAGAGUGGAAUAGACAGUGGUGAAGGGGUAGAAAGGUGUGAGAUAUCUUUCUUCACACAUCAUAGGUCAUGGCUGACAUUCCUGUAACAAAAGACAGAGAUUAACAAGAGAAAAGGAUAGCAAUUUAUUUAAUCAAUUUUUUACAUGACACAGGAGCCUUCAGAAAUGAAGACCCAAUGACCCAGGGGGAACUGUCUAUUUUGAUGCUUAGGCUCAUGAAGAAUGGGUAUCCACGUAGAAAGUUGACUGGACAAAAGUGUAUAAUCCAUUGGUAACAGACUGAAGGGGGAAACACAAUAAUGCCUUUCUAUUCAAAUAUUUAUUAGCCUCUUUAUGUAGGGUUUCUUCCUCCUAGGUAUGGGCAGGACCUUCCUAGAAUAAGUGUCUUCAAGGGAGAAGGGAAAGAAGUUAGAAUGAGCCUUCUAGGUUUUAUGGCUUGCUUUGGAGAAGAAUUUUUGUUUCCAUGACGUGCCUUGGGGAAGAAGAAUUUUACUUUCUAUGAUCCGCCUUGGAGAAGAGGAAGUCUGAGUUCCAUGACUGACUUCAGCAAAGAAGGAGAAGAAGGAAACAGGAGGAUAAGAAGUCAGAAAGACCUUGCUUCUGAGGUCCUUCCAAUCUCCUGUAGUUCAAAGUACUCAGCACACCAGGUACCAAACUUUAGGGUAUUGUGUUCAGAGCCCUAACACUGACCUCGAUUUGGGAAAAAGUAGUGUAGAUGAACACAUGGAAUCAGGUAGAAAGAAGAUGUAUUGUUAUCUUACAUCAAUGCCCAUCAGAGAACACCCACUGAAGAGCAGACACUAAACAACAAAGUGGAUGGGAUGUCUUUUAUCCAGCAAAUGCCAGCUAGUAUCUCUCCUUAGCUGCUCAUAGUGGAGGCACUCAUAGUGGAUGUAGCCAAGGUGGCUGCUGGCAAGCCAACAGCAUAGGCUCCCUCUCAUCCAGGUUUCUAUUGUGGCUGCAGAAUAUCCAUCCUGUCAUCAUCAGAAACUAUGACCUCAACAGGACACUGUUCUAUGGGGAGGCCAACCAGCCACUUGGUUGCAAGUUGAGCAUUUAGGAUCAUUCCAAAAAGGGGAGCAGUUGGUUUUGAGUAAGGCUCAUGUAAAAUUUGCUUUUCUUGCUAACAAUGGCUAGGACCACACUACUAGUUAAGGAUAGUAUUGUUCACAGAUAUAUUGACAUGGGACCCUGUAUUAUAUACUCACAGGCAAAGAAACCUGUUUUAUGGUGAAAGAGGUGUGUUAAUGGACACAAGACGAUUGCAUACUAAACCCCAUAUCACCCAAAAAGGGAAAAUGAAAGCAGCCAAAAGAGAAUUUCCUGAUGCUCCCACCAUCAAAUCCAUCAGCAUGCCUGCAUCUGAAAUCACAUUCUUUGCUUUCCUUCCUUUGAGAGUGGCUGGUCUGUCAGUAAUUCUAGCAAAGACCACACCACAUCCUAUCCUCUUACCAGAGAGCAUUUUCCUGAAAAUGACCAUUUCUGCAUUCCCCCUUAUGUUUUCCCCUAUACUGAAUCAUUCCAGUUAUCAUUUGUUUCAAAUGAAGAAUUAUAAUUCAAGUAUUUCUUUUAGUGCAAUGAGUGAGAGAUAAAGAUUACAUUUAACAUUAAGAUUGGUUCAGAACAUAAAAGUUCUUUUUGCACCGUGUUGGAAACUAUUGAAGUACUAUCUUCACAGCGUAACCCUCCGUACAUGCACUUCAUUGCUCCUCAAUUUUUCUGCCUUUCUCCAACACAAUACCUGAUACUGCCCUACUUUCUAUUCUCUUGUAUCCUUAUUUUUUCCUAAUUGAGAGAGAACAGUGAUGAUAAUUAAACAAUUGAGUGGAAACCAAUUCCUGCGAUAGUGCUAGAUGCUUAAUAGGUAACAUCUUCUGCUCGAGUUACUGAGACUUCACCUACUUUGAAGCUACUGAUCUCAAAGAAGCUUAAGGAAUAAUUAUGGAGGAGAUAAUUUUAGGUAAAAUUUGAAUUUAUAAGGAAAUGUUGUCCAGGAAAAUUAUAGGGUCCAUUUUUUACCAGGCUUGAGACAUAUUUGGUACAGAGAAUAUUAGGGAGUGGUUAGUCAGAAUGGCUGCUUUGGAAAAUGAAUUUAACUGUAAGAAGUCUGUUGAGUACAUAUAACAGUGGAAUAAAAUGGUGGUGGAGGUGAAAGAUCACUUCAUAUGAUACAUUUUGACUUCAAAUUUCUAGUCUCUGAGGAUUAAGAAGGUACCAGUGAAGAAAGGUUUGAUUUUCAAAGAGAAGCAGCCAAUGUCCCAUGACACCAUUAAUAAAAUAGAUAACACUUUAGAGUGUGCAAAGUUCAUUUAUUUUGAUUAUCUAAUUCAAAAGUGACACAACCUUAUGAGGUAACAAUUGCUAUACUUUAAUAAGGAAUGGAAACUAAGAGAAAUUAAGUAAGAUUUACCUUGGAUUUCCAAGGUAAUCCAAUAAGUGAGUCAAACCCAGGCUAUAGGUAAAGAAAUUGGCCACUCAGUACUACAAUAUGUAUGUUCACCAUUGUAGAGUGUGGCUGUCUUUUGAAAAAUGGCCCUUAGUGAAACAUGCUGUCCAGUAUUCACUUUUUUGUAUAGUUUUUAACCAAAAUAAAUGAGGGCUUGCCCUGUGUAAAUGAUAGAAUGUGGCGUGUUUCUUUUUCUCUAGGAAUGUGUAGUCUGUAGGAAGCCAACUUUUUGAACAUGAAGUUCAAGCACUCUGAGGACUCUAAGUUUGAGGAAGCCCAAGAUAGCCAAAUGAAGAGUCCACAAAAAGAAAAAGAGCUAUAGUGUCUGCUCUUUUAGCAAUCCCACCUGAGGUGUCAGACAUGUGAAUGAAGAUACUUUCUUGGUUGUCCAGUCUAGUUGAACUUUCAGAUGACUCUAGAUUUUGCUACUAUCUGACCGACACUCCAGGAGAUAUCUCAAGUGAGAAAUAACCAGUUGAGCUCAGUCAACACAAAUUACCAUAAAUAAUUAUUUUGGUUUCCAAGUUUGGGGGUGACCUUUUGUGUAGCAUUAGAUAAACAAAACCCUGCUUAUCUCCAAAGUUGGGGAAGGGGAGAAAUAAAAGAAUCACAUAAGGUAAAUAAGGGGCAUUGUUUUGCAAACUUUGAAAAAUACUAUAUACAAUGCAUGGAUGUAGUGAAAUACAUAGAGACUCAGAAGUCAUAAGCCCUGAGUUUGAAACCUCUUGAUAUUUUCUCACUCUGUGACUCUUGGAUAAAUCACACUCAAUUUCUCCUAGUCUAAAUGUGAUUAUCAAUAAAAUUAUGUUAAUAAAGCCUUGCUC